CACACGACUCUCGGCAACGGAUAUCUCGGCUCUCGCAUCGAUGAAGAACGUAGCGAAAUGCGAUACYUGGUGUGAAUUGCAGAAUCCCGCGAACCAUCGAGUCUUUGAACGCAAGUUGCGCCCGAGGCCAUCCGGCCGAGGGCACGCCUGCCUGGGCGUCACGC
rnacentral:rRNA from 1 species